GACCACGUAGCUCAGUUGGCAGAGCGUUGGGCUAGUAUUCCAAAGGUUGUAGGUUUGAUUCCCACCGUGGCCG
rnacentral:tRNA from 1 species